rnacentral:lncRNA from 1 species
AAUAAAGAAGCUUACCUAAAAGAAGGAAAUCAAAACAAGAUAAUCUACACUGCAACUAGGGGAGGCUAUUGAAUGUGAUGGUCCCCUCAGAUGCCUAGAGGAAGAUGAACAAUGGUAAUCAGAUAUCCUAAAGUUAUCUUUAGGGCACUGGCAAAAUAGCAGCAAUGCCUGGUGGAAGCUGACUUUGUGCAUACACAUGAGAGCCCACAGAAAACUUCAAACUUCAUGGAAAUAAAACCUUCAGCUGCAGCUAAGAAUUUGGAGGUUACUGAAGGAGGUUACUUUUUCAAGAGCAGAAGUAAGGAUUCCACUGAAUUUGCUCACCAAAGAUAAGUCAGCAAAGAAAACUUACUGAAGAAUACAGGAACAUAAAUCUUAAGCAGGCUUACAUAAGGAAGGGAAGUGGUUGAAUCUGAGGUAAUUCCAUGGUGGACUUUGAAGAAAGCCUUCCAUGAGUUCCCAGUCCAUAUCCUCCAAAAGGUUUCUUGGAUAUGCUUUAUUUAUGCCUAAUUUUCCAGUUUUCUCUUUAAUAUUGUGUGCUCUAAUAUUUUAUUCUCUCUCUUUUUUUUGCUUCACUUAGUUAGAAUUUCUUUCAGCCAAUGAAGAAUUCUAUUGAGAAGCAUGAAUCUGUAAUUUUGCAUAUUCCAGAAUAGUUAUGAUCUAAACAUUACAUCCUGCUGUAUCCCUAAGUACUUGA